AGUGAACGCUGGCGGUAGGCCUAACACAUGCAAGUCGAACGGCAGCACAGUAAGAGCUUGCUCUUACGGGUGGCGAGUGGCGGACGGGUGAGGAAUACAUCGGAAUCUACUUUUUCGUGGGGGAUAACGUAGGGAAACUUACGCUAAUACCGCAUACGACCUACGGGUGAAAUCAGGGGAUCUUCGGACCUUGCGCGAUUCAAUGAGCCGAUGUCGGAUUAGCUAGUUGGCGGGGUAAAGGCCCACCAAGGCGACGCUCCGUAGCUGGUCUGAGAGGAUGAUCAGCCACACUGGAACUGAGACACGGUCCAGACUCCUACGGGAGGCAGCAGUGGGGAAUAUUGGACAAUGGGCGCAAACCUGAUCCAGCCAUACCGCGUGGGUGAAGAAGGCCUUCGGGUUGUAAAGCCCUUUUGUUGGGAAAGAAAAGCAGCAGGUUAAUACCCCGCUGUUCUGACGGGACCCAAAGAAUAAGCACCGGCUAACUUCG
rnacentral:rRNA from 1 species